rnacentral:rRNA from 1 species
UACGAAGGGGGCUAGCGUUGCUCGGAUUGACUGGGCGUAAAGGGCGCGUAGGCGGAUAGUACAGUCAGGCGUGAAAUUCCUGGGCUCAACCUGGGGGCUGCGUUUGAUACGUGUUGUCUGGAGUUCGGAAGAGGGUCGUGGAAUUCCUGGUGUAGCGGUGAAAUGCGUAGAUAUCCGGAGGAACACCGGUGGCGAAGGCGGCUUCCUGGACCGAUACUGACGCUGAGGCGCGAAAGCUAGGGGAGCAAACGGG